rnacentral:rRNA from 1 species
GACGAACGCUGGCGGCGUGCCUAAUACAUGCAAGUCGAGCGAAGCGGCGGAUGGGUGAGUAACGCGUGGGUAACCUGCCCUUAAGUCUGGGAUGCCAGCUGGAAACAGAUGCUAAUACCGGAUACUAAACGCUGGGCCUGCGGGGCAUUAGCUAGUGGGUAAGGUAACGGCUUACAAAGGCGAUGAUGCAUAGCGGAGUUGAGAGACGGAUCGGCCACAUUGGGACUGAGACACGGCCCAAACUCCUACGGGAGGCAGCAGUAGGGAAUCUUCCACAAUGGACGAAAGUCUGAUGGAGCAACGCCGCGUGAGUGAAGAAGGUUUUCGGAUCGUAAAGCUCUGUUGUUGGUGAAGCGGUAAUCAACCAGAAAGUCACGGCUAACUACGUGCCAGCAGCCGCGGUAAUAC